UGUGACAUCACAGUGCUCCAAUGUGACAUCACAGUGCUCCAUUUUGCCAUCACAGUGGUCCAUUGUUUUAUUACAGUGAUCCAUUGUUUCAUCACAGUG
rnacentral:miRNA from 1 species